GUGUCCUCUGUCAGGUGCAGCUGGUCCAGUCCGGCCCAGGGGCGGCAAAGCCCGGAGAGACCCUCACCCUGACCUGCGCUGUCUCCGGGGUCUCCAUCACUACUCAGCAUUACCAUUGGAGCUGGAUCCGGCAGCCCCCCGGGAAAGGGCUGGAGUGGAUGGGGUAUGUGUACCCGUAUAGUAGUGGGAGCACAAGCUACGCCCCGUCUCUCCAAGGCCGAAUCACCAUCUCUGCAGACACCGCCAAGAGCCAGUUCUCCCUGCAGCUCCGCUCGCUGACAGCUGCAGACACCGCCACCUAUUACUGUGCCGGAGACACA